AUUGAACGCUGGCGGCAGGCCUAACACAUGCAAGUCGAACGAGGGGCGGACGGGUGAGAAAUGUCUGGGAAACCGCCCGAUGGAGGGGGAUAACCACGGGAAACGGGAGCUAACACCGCAUACCAGCGGCUGCGCCCAGAUGGGAGUAGCGAGUAGGUGGGGUAACGGCUCACCUAGGCGACGCUCCCUAGCUGGUCUGAGAGGAUGACCAGCCACACUGGGACGAAGACACGGUCCAGACUCCUACGGGAGGCAGCAGUGGGGAAUAUUGCACAAUGGGCGCAAGCCUGAUGCAGCCAUGCCGCGUGUAUGAAGAAGGCCUUCGGGUUGUAAAGUACUUUCAGCGGGGAGGCGUUACCCUCAGAAGAAGCACCGGCUAACUCCGUGCCAGCAGCCGCGGUAAUAC
rnacentral:rRNA from 1 species